GAACGAUAAAGUGGAGCAAUCCAUGAGUAAAGUGGCGACCGGNGUGAGUAACACGUGACUAACCUGCCCUAUAGUGGGGGAUAACCUCGGGAAACCGGGGCUAAUACCGCAUAACAUCGCGAGGGGAAGAUCCUUGCGAUCAAAGGAGCAAUUCGCUCAAGGAGGGGGUCGCGGCUGAUUAGCUAGUUGGUGAGGUAACGGCCCACCAAGGCGAAGAUCAGUAGCCGGCCUGAGAGGGCGCACGGCCACACUGGAACUGAAACACGGUCCAGACUCCUACGGGAGGCAGCAGUGGGGAAUUUUGCGCAAUGGGGGAAACCCUGACGCAGCAACGCCGCGUGGAGGAUGAAGUCCCUUGGGAUGUAAACUCCUUUCGAUCGGGACGAUAAUGGCGGUACCGGAAGAAGAAGCACCGGCUAACUCUGUG
rnacentral:rRNA from 1 species